rnacentral:rRNA from 1 species
GACGAACGCUGGCGGCGUGCCUAAUACAUGCAAGUUGAGCGCUGAAGGUUGGUACUUGUACCAACUGGAUGAGCAGCGAACGGGUGAGUAACGCGUGGGGAAUCUGCCUUUGAGCGGGGGACAACAUUUGGAAACGAAUGCUAAUACCGCAUAAAAACUUUAAACACAAGUUUUAAGUUUGAAAGAUGCAAUUGCAUCACUCAAAGAUGAUCCCGCGUUGUAUUAGCUAGUUGGUGAGGUAAAGGCUCACCAAGGCGAUGAUACAUAGCCGACCUGAGAGGGUGAUCGGCCACAUUGGGACUGAGACACGGCCCAAACUCCUACGGGAGGCAGCAGUAGGGAAUCUUCGGCAAUGGACGAAAGUCUGACCGAGCAACGCCGCGUGAGUGAAGAAGGUUUUCGGAUCGUAAAACUCUGUUGGUAGAGAAGAACGUUGGUGAGAGUGGGAAGCUCAUCAAGUGACGGUAACUACCCAGAAAGGGACGGCUAACUACGU